GUGCCAGCAGCCGCGGUAAUACCGGCAGCCCAAGUGAUGGCCGAUAUUAUUGGGCCUAAAGCGUCCGUAGCUGGCCGGACAAGUCCGUUGGGAAAUCUGCUCGCUCAACGAGCAGGCGUCCAGCGGAAACUGUUCGGCUUGGGACCGGAAGACCAGAGGGGUACGUCCGGGGUAGGAGUGAAAUCCCGUAAUCCUGGACGGACCGCCGAUGGCGAAAGCACGUCGCGAGGACGGAUCCGACAGUGAGGGACGAAAGCCAGGGUCUCGAACCGGAUUAGAAACCCGCGUAGUCC
rnacentral:rRNA from 1 species